GCCCGAAGGGAGUCCCCCCACCUCCCGUUUUAUCCAAUUAAGGCAGAGCAGAAAUGGGCUGUGCGCUGACCCUGGAGAAGGGGCGCGGGAGGGGCCGGCAACCGCUCCUGCUGCAGAUCCGGCUCCCCUAAGAGGAGCUCCCUUCAGCUUCUGCCGCCUCAACCGCUUCUUUGCUGCCCGGCCGUUUGAGGGGAGCCCGAGCAGGCAGGGAAACAAAAAGCCAGACUUGUGCUCUGGUCAAAGCAAACCAAAGAGGCCAAAAACCGCCGGAGGGAGAGGAGGGGAGGAGAUGUGUGUGUGUGUGUGGGGGGGGGGAAAUGGUGGUGUUGGAAAACACGAAGGACUUCUCUAGGUAGCCACUUCUGCAGACAGACUCGGCUCUGCCAGAGAGGAGAAAAGUGAGGUCUUUUCUCCUCGCUCGCUUCUCUCCAGCCUUUCGGGACCGACGCGGCAACUGCGAAGCGCGCUUCCUUCUCUUCCGCCCCUCAUCUCCACCCCCCCUCCAUCCUUCCAUCCUCCACAUCCCCCCACCCGCCGCCGCCGCACCAUCUAAGCGGUGGGGGGGGGGAAGCGGGGGCAGCCGGGACCGGCGCUGCAGAGAGAGAAGCCGAAAGCGCGCGGCCGGGGCAGGUCGAGCGAGAAGCACCGCUCGCCCUUCUCGCUCUGGCCGCGCGCGCGCGCGCGCGCGCGGGGAGAAAGAAAGAGAGAGAAAAAGAAGACUGGCGGGCGCGAGAGCUCAGACCCGCGCAGAGAGAGAGAGAGGAGGGGAGGGGGAGAGGAUGGUUCGCUCGCCGCUGCCGCUCUCUGGGACAGAGGGAGCUUGAGGGGCGGACGGAAGGGAGAUGCAGCCACGGUCUCCGGCUGGGAAUCUCUGGAGAUGAGGCGGGCACCCGCCGCCGCCGCUGCGUCUGAAGCAGCCCCGCGUUUUUGAAGAAAUCUUCCUCUGUAGCCAGGAAGCUCACAAUAGUGAUGUAGAGGACAGCAGGACAUGCUAUUAUCCUACAAACAGCUGCACAACAUGUUACCCAUUGAAACAAAAACUAGCACAACAGGGCAACAACACGCAAAACCAUUAUAUUCUACUCUGACAUAUCUAUGUGGAAGAAUUAUUUUAUUUUGAUACAAAGGAAUAACCAUAUAAGGCCCUAAUUUUGAUCAGAAGUGACAUUGUCCAUUCAUAGUUGCAUUACAUUAGUGAAACAAAUCCUUCAAAAUACUUUGAUUGACAUCCAUGUGAAAAGGCUUCACAAUUCAUCCUGACCUGCUCAACUAUUGCUGAAGGUUCUGUAAGGAAUAAAGGCUCUACCUUUUCACCGGGAAGUCAAAAGGAGAAAGAAACAAACUGCAAAUUCUGACUGAAGAUGAAGCAGCCCACCACAGUUCCACUGUUGACUUCUCUGCAGCAAGCUGCUUGAGGGAACUCAAGAUGGUAUAUGAACAUUGGUAUGAAGUGAUUUCUUCUGGCAGCCAUGAAGGCCUACUCUUUCCAACGGAAAUUUACCAAGUGGCAACAUGUAUUACUUCAUAAAAUCAACAUAAAUUGGGGCAAAUAUUAUAGUGCAUCCUGUAAGACAUGUAUGAUACUAACAUAGCCUAAUGCAGUGUUUCUUAACUUUGACAACUUUAAGAGAUGUGGACUUCACCUCCCAGAAUUCCCUGGCCAGCAAGCUGGUGAUCAUUCUGGCUGAGAAUUCUGGGAAUGGUAGACCCAACCAGUUUGGCUGAGGAAAACUAUAUUACUAACUCCGGCUUGCUUUUCACUGUCCUAGCACCAUUCUAAUUGGCAACUUCCACACCCCCUGUAUAGGACUACUAUGCCUUUGAGAUGACAGGUCUUAAAAUAUUUAUCCUUAUUUCCCUAAAAAGUAAAAUUAAAUUAUUUGUUUAAAAAAAAAUAUUGAAAUGUAACAUUGAGAUUACAAAAAGGCUCCAAUCAUAUGAGGAGAAUUGUUCUGGAUCUGGAGAUGUUUAAAUCUUCAUCCUCUAAUCAAAGCCACUGAAACAACUGCUAAAUAAUCUAGUCCCCUGGAAAUUUUCAAGAGAAAAAAGCAUUCUGAUUUUUUUUUCCCUCUGAAAAGCCCACAUUACUAUUUACUCCCUUGAUAAUUCCAAUCAACAUGACAAUUUUUUCCUGGCUCUGGCAAUGCAGAUGACAGACAAAAAGAAAUCUCUACUAAUUGGUUUGCUACUGGUGUGUCAUAAGAGUGGUUCUGAUUUUAUUUUUGUUGUUUUUUUUUCUCCUGAAUGGACUAAUAAGUAGAGAAGUAAAAGAAAACAUAACCAUCAAUAGCACCAGCAGGAAAGAAAACAAAGAUACGUAAAAGUGCACUUAAAAGCUUUCAACGGUGAUGCAUAUAUUGACCAGAUCUGCCCUGUGUUUACACUUCCCAUUGACUUUAGCUAGGUCAAUAUUAAGAGACAGAAAACCAUGCCAUAUAUUGCUGAACACAGAAAAGAAGCAUUUCAGUUUUAUUGUGGGGUUCAUUACUGGACACUACAAAUUUGUCUGGCUUUCUGUUCAUUUUAAUGGGAAAGUAAGUGGCUUUGCUAUUGUUUUCUUUGAGGAUGUUUUUUAGCCAAGCUUAUAGCCAUGAUAUUUCUUGCUAGACUUCCAUUGAAGUACACAUUAGACCUGAUCUGGCUUAAAGAAGGCCAGCCAGGAGCUAUCUCCGAGGAGGCAAUAUGGUAGUUAGAGAGAUAAAUUAGUUAAUUGGCAGGAUAGGAUUCAGAAUCCACUUUGAUUGACCCGGGAGUUGUUUCUGUUAGUUGUUAACUUAGGAAUCAAAAUAUCAAGAUCCUCACAAAAGGGAACCAUAAAUGAUAUAUUCUGCCCAGAGUCACUUAUUGAGAUGAAUGUUAUAGAAAAUCAAUCAAUCAACCAACCAACCAACCAACCAACCAAAUAAACAAAUGCCAAUAGGCGUUUCAAAAAACAAGUAGUUCAAACAAUUGGCAGAAAAUCCUGUCUACUCAUAUCCCAAGCAAAGGGUUAAGGUUAAGGUUAGGCUUGCUUUGACAAAGAAAAUAGGCAUUAAAAAAAAAUCCAUUAUAAGAUUGGCUGGUUCUUUUUAACACUAAAAAUCAGUUCUUCUCCCCUUUCCCAAUUGUACUAGAGUUACAACUCUGUAAGAAUCCAUUCUCCUGCAUCAUUUUUCCUUGCUGCCCAAUUUUUAAUCAAACGUUCCUCACAAAAACAUUUUAAAGUAGGCAGAAUGCAUAUGCUUAACCAAAGCCAACAAGAGAUGUUCAUAGUUUCUACAUCUCUUGACUCCAUAUUAGAUGCUACAUUAGCAGAGGGAGGACACUGUGUGAUGCUGGAAUUGGCUGGUUUCCCAAGGUAAUUUGACACAUAAGAUUUAUGUAAAUUUACACAGUAAAAUGCACCAGUUCCCUUAAGAAAUAUUCUAGAGUGCAUGAACAUUAGAACCUAAUUGUUGCUGAAGCAAAUUGCAUCAGUCCUGCUUGUAAAUAUUGUAGCUAUUCUCAUUACAGUGAUGUAGAAAACAUGAGAAUCGUUUCCACAGAGUUGUUCAUAUUUGCAGUCUCUAGGCCUGAGGGUAACUGGUGGCCACAUUAAAGCAGUUUUUACCGUAAUCCCAUGUGCAGGAACAGUUGUAGGAUCAAAACAAUGAAAGCAGAGUUGCAGCAUUGUGAUGUAAAUUCUGCUUGUAGGUGAAGACAUGUAAAAGAAAAGGUGCUUCCAUUGGGAUGGCAUGAUGUUGCUUCUGCCAUUUGUUCAUCUCACCCCCAGGGAUACCUCAACCUGGCGCUAAUUAUCCACAGAUUGGCUUUGAGCCUGCAGGGGUUUCUUUAUUCUCCUGCCAAUUGUUUUUAGGAUACUUAGAAUUAACACAGGUACAUUCUUGGAACAAAGGAAGCCAAGGAGACCUGUUCAGGCAUCAAGUUAGUCAUCCUGGAGAAACCACCUGUCUUUCAUUGAACUGCAAUUCUUCAAAAAAAAUAAAUAAAAUUAAAAUGUGCAAGUAUAAGCUAGUUGGUUUCUUUCAAG